rnacentral:misc_RNA from 1 species
GAUGAAGAACGUAGCGAAAUGCGAUACGUAAUGUGAAUUGCAAAUUCAGUGAAUCAUCGAGUCUUUGAACGCACAUUGCGCCCCCUGGUAUUCCGGGGGGCAUGCCUGUCCGAGCGUCAUUGCUGCCCUCAAGCACGGCUUGUGUGUUGGGCCCCGUCCUCCGAUUCCGGGGGACGGGCCCGAAAGGCAGCGGCGGCACCGCGUCCGGUCCUCGAGCGUAUGGGGCUUUGUCACCCGCUCUGUAGGCCCGGCCGGCGCUUGCCGAUCAACCCAAAUUUUUAUCCAGGUUGACCUCGGAUCAGGUGGGGAUACCCGCUGAACUUAAGCAUAUCAAUAAGCGGAGGA